CUAGACUGCAGAAGUUGAAGGAUUUGUUAGGACCAUCCGAAGCUCUAGCGAUAAUCAGGCCAAAUAUGCGACCCCUUCCUGCUGUUCCCUGCCAAAGUUGCAUGAAAAAAAUAGGAGUCAACAUGAAAAGAAAGGAACAGAGCCAGUGACGAUGCAAUUUUUCUAAAAAUCACUACUUGAUCCUUGAAUUCUUGGAAUUUGUUUAUUCUUGCACGGAGCGAAGAAUGCCUCAUAGUGUGGAAUAUUUUGGAAGACCAUGUGCAAAGAAGGUCUAAUGAUGGCUAAGGUACGAAACCACAUAUCUCCAUUGCGUGACUAUUUUAGUUUCGUGAGCGAAAAUCAGCAUAUCGACGGUGUGAGGCAGCAACCACGUAUCCCUGAAAACGCGAUGGUUCAAGGGAGCGAAAUAAUUGUCUACACUCCUUAUCUUUGAAGGUAAGGGGAAUCAAUACUUGAACACCAAAAAAAAGUUGCUCUAUAGUAACUUCCAGGAUGUUA
rnacentral:lncRNA from 1 species